rnacentral:tRNA from 1 species
CGGCGCGUGGCUCAGUGGUAAGAGCGGCGUCCUUAUAAGACGAGGGUUGAAGGUUCAAUUCCUUCCGCGCCGA